CAUUUGGGAAGGAUCGGUGGCGGAGGAUGCAGUGAAAAUUAUUAAAUGUUAAUAGAAAAGUGGUUAAGUAAAUCGUGAAAGAUGUCAACGCAGGCGUAAAUGCAGUUUGUUUUGUUACUUGAUCUACGGCUAUUUCAUUGCCAAAGCUCCUGAUAACAGAUCAAAGCAGAUGGAUCGGGCAUACAGAGUCGCCAUUUAACAUUAAAUAUCUUCUUGAUCGGCAAACGCAUCAAACACCAAGUGUUUCUCUUCCAACAGCACGCACCAUCGGUGGAGCAAGCAGCUAACGCUUUGAUCGCCAGUACGCGCCAUCAAGAAUUGAUAUUUUGCC